rnacentral:lncRNA from 1 species
UUUGGUCUUUGACUUUUUGAAGUGCAGCAGUGUGGUUAGGAGUUCUAUGAACAGUGUUUGCAAGGGCCUUGCCAAAACUCAAAGUCCUCUCUCAUCACAUGGAUGCAACUAUUAACUGGAAACUUGAGAACACCGCAUCUGGAAAAUUUCAAAAGUUAUAGUGUAAUUUUCACCUAAUGGUAACUUAGAAUUCUGAGUAAAAGAGCGAAUUUGAGUAAAUGUAUCUAACUCUUCUAGACAACUUUU